rnacentral:lncRNA from 1 species
AUGCUGGUGGGGGCAGAGCAUUGUUGUUUUGUUUCCAUGACUCAGAGGCAGCUAGGAACACGUCACGUUGUCUGCUUUUCAUUCUCUAAGCAGACACUGCAGAGUCUUUGUGUCUUUUUCUGUAGGAGUUUCAUGGAGCAGAAAAAAAAAAUCAAAAAAACACUUUUUGCAUUUUUUAGCAACAUGGCUCAAAGUCCACUCGGCUCUGUGCCAAUGCCACGUAUCGGCACAGGGUUGAAAAGCCCCAGCUGGUCCGUAGAGGGUCAAAAAGCCUUGAGUCAAAGAGCCAGGGAGCUGAAACUGCACUUCCAGAUAACUGCAUGUGCUGCCCUUCCCUUGGACCAAGUGGUGCAGAGUGACCAGCUGGAGUUAUUUAUUAAACCACCGUUUACUUGCCACCAGCUAAUUAACUUCAAUGGCGGUGAGGGGAAGAGAGUGCCUGCAGAAUGUGCUGGAGGAUGCAGCUCUUUGGGGAUGGGGAGCAGGAGCAGCCCGAUGGAGCUGAGCUGCCCACCAGCACCAAACAACCAGGCAUUGGGUUUCUGUGUUUCUGUCCUUUUUUUUUUUUUUUUUUGCUUGGACAAAGAGCCUUUGUUUUCCUUGACAACAUGUUCGCUGAGGCUGCUGCUGGAUCAGGCAGUAAAUUCUCUUCCCACUGGAGCCAUGAAACUGAGACCAAAGUUUGCUCCUACAGAUUUCAGCAUGCUAUCUGAUGUGAAAACAGCCUUUAUUGCCUUUUUUUUCUUUUUUUUUUUCUUCCAAACACACCAAGGUAGUCUGGGGCAGGAGCAGUUUAGUCCUUUGGGGAUGAGUUGGUGCUGAGGAGGGUGGCAACGAGCUGUUGUAAGGCAGCAAAGCUCUGCCCAGGUCCAACUUUAUCCAAAAUGGAGCAAUUUAAAAACUGUACUGGGUCUGGCUGGAAUGUUAACUUUCCCGGCAGCAGCCCAUACAGUGCUGUGCUCUGCACUUGGAGCUAGAACAGCAGUGGUAUCACACCAGUGUUGUGACUGCUGCUGAGCAGUGCUGGCACAGCAUCAGGACUCUCUCUAACCCUCCUAGGGGGUGGGCAAAAAGUGAGGAGGGAAGCAUCACUAGGGCAGCUGACCUAAACCAACCAAAGGGGUAUUCCGUACCGUGUGAUGUCACACUCGGCAAGAAAAGGUAGAAACAGGAAGAGGAGAGGAGGGGUGGGCUCUCAUUGAGAAAACAUCGGUCCUCCUCUCGAACACUGGCUGCGUGUGUUGAGGCCUUGCUUCAAGGACGUGGUCAAUCAUCGCUCAUUUGUGGGAAGUAGAAAGUAAUUUCUUUCCUCUGCA